rnacentral:lncRNA from 10 species
CCCAUUUCCUUAAAAAGAACCUUGUUUCCAAAAGAAUCAUGAAAAAUAAAAUAAAAAUAGAUUACAUUCUGUAUUAGGAAACCCUUGGUGAUCUACUAAGGACUGUGGCAAAAUUACCUGCCACCAGAUGUGUAGGCACAGCUCUGCUAGAUCUUUCCACUUUAAAUUUCGCUUUCAGCUUAGUCUCCAGCUCAGCAAGAAGUAACCUUCCUUCAUGAAAUUUACAUCUUCUCAACGUGAGGCGGCUGCUGACUAAGUGUUUUAGCCAACUGUUCUACAUAACAAAUUACCCCCCAAAUUUAGUAGUUUAAAACAACCAAACAAUUUUUAUGAUCUCACAGUUUCUGUGGGACAGUUUUUGUAAGGCGGGAUGGCCUAACCAGAUCCUCUGGCUCCAGAUCUCUUACAAAACGGCAGUCAAGGUUUGGUGUGGGGCUGUAGACCAGGUUUCUGGCUCACUGUUCAAAUGGGGGAGGAUCCAUUUCUGAGCUCAUUCGUGCGGCCAUUGGGAGGCCUGAGGCCCUCAAUGGCUGUCAGCCGGAGACAUCACUUUCAUGCCACAUUGACUUCUCCAUAGGGCAGCUCUACAAAAUGACAGCUUCCCUUUCUCAAACCAAGGGCUCCACAAAAGGGAAAGAGCAUUUUUGGAGCAGCCGCCUGCCUUGGCCUCCCAAAGUGCCGAGAUUGCAGCCUCUGCCCGGCCGCCACCGCGUCUGGGAAGUGAGGAGUGUCUCUGCCUGGCCGCCCA